AUGGAUCCGGAGCUGAUCGAGCACCUUGAGGCCAAAGUGAGUGCUGACAGUACAAGAUCUCACCCUCUCAUCGAUUUGUUCAUACCAACCAUCGACGGCGAGCACGGCAUAUGCUACACCCAUCCUGAGAAACUUCCAGGUAUCACACUGAGUGGCCUAAGCAAGCAUUUCUUCCAGCGCAAUUCCAGGGUGUUCAAAAGGGGCAUGUGGACGCGUCGCAAGAUACAGUCGGAGUGCAUCAUGCACGCGAUGUGGCACAACACCGGCAAUACCUUGCCGGUGAUGGUCAACGGCCAGCAGACGGGCAGCAAAAAGGUUUUGGUGCUGCACACCAACAAGAACUUUGACGAGCAGAGGACCAACUGGGUGAUGCACCAGUACCACCUCGGGGACCUGGAGCAAGAGAAGUAG
rnacentral:rRNA from 1 species